UAUGAUUCCCCUAGUAACGGCGAGUGAACAGGGAGAAGCCCAAAUUUGUAAUCUGGCACUUUUUACAAGUGUCCGAGUUGUAAUUUGUAGAGCUGUUAUCCGUACUGGACCAUGUACAAGUCUGUUGAAAAGCAGCAUCAUUGAAGGUGAAAAUCCUGUAGAUGAUAUGGACUACCAGUAUAUUUGUGAUACGGCUUCUAAGAGUCGAGUUGUUUGGGAAUGCAGCUCAAAGUGGGUGGUAAAUUCCAUCUAAGGCUAAAUAUAAGUGAGAGACCGAUAGCAUACAAGUACCGUGAGGGAAAGAUGAAAAGAACUUUGAAAAUAGAGUUAACAGUACGUGAAAUUGCUGAAAGGGAAACGUUUGAAGUUAGUUUUGUAUUCGUUGGAUCAGCUUCGCAAGGAGUGUAUUCUGAUGAUAAGCAAGUCAACAUCAGUCUAUGAGUGUUGGAUAAGGGUUUUGAGAAUGUAGCAAUUUAAUUGUGUUAUAGCUUGAGACUUGGAUUACGAAUCCGCUCUUGGACUGAGGAACGCGUAGUAAGCUUUGAGCGGAUUCGAAAGGAUCUCCUUACUAUGGAUGUUGGUGAAAUAACUUUAAGCGACCCGUCUUGAAACACGGACCAAGGAGUCUAACAUGCUUGCGAGUAUUAGGGUGUUGAAACCCGAAUGCGUAAUGAAAGUGAAUCUAAGAUGUGAUCCGCAAGGUGCAACAUCGGCCGGUCUGGAUCAUUUAUGUGAAGGUACUGAGCAAGAGCAAGUAUGUUAGGACCCGAAAGAUGGUGAACUAUGCCUGGAUAGGGUGAAGUCAGAGGAAACUCUGAUGGAAGCUCGUAGCGGUUCUGACGUGCAAAUCGAUCGUAGAAUCUGGGUAUAGGGGCGAAAGACUAAUCGAACCAUCUAGUAGCUGGUUCCUGCCGAAGUUUCCCUCAGGAUAGCAAAGACUUUUAAAUUAGUUUUAUGAGGUAAAGCGAAUGAUUAGAGGGCUUGGGAAUGUAAUGUUCUUAACCUAUUCUCAAACUUUA
rnacentral:sRNA from 1 species